GGUGGGGUGGCCGAGCGGUCAAAGGCAACAGACUGUAAAUCUGUCGGGUUUCCCCUACGUAGGUUCGAACCCUACCCCCACCACCA
rnacentral:tRNA from 1 species